AGAGUUUGAUCCUGGCUCAGAACGAACGCUGGCGGCGUGCUUAACACAUGCAAGUCGAACGAGAAAGCUUCCUUCGGGAAGUGAGUAGAGUGGCGCACGGGUGAGUAACGCGUAGGUAAUCUAUCCUUAUAUUUGGGAUAACAUUGGGAAACUGGUGCUAAUACCGAAUGGUCUUCAUAGCUGUUGGGCUAUGGAGUAAAGGUGGCCUCUUCAUGAAAGCUACCGUGUAGGGAUGAGCCUGCGUACCAUUAGCUAGUAGGUGGGGUAAUGGCCCACCUAGGCUACGAUGGUUAGCGGGUCUGAGAGGAUGAUCCGCCACACUGGAACUGGAACACGGACCAGACUCCUACGGGAGGCAGCAGUGAGGAAUAUUGCGCAAUGGGGGAAACCCUGACGCAGCAACGCCGCGUGAGUGAUGAAGGCUUUCGGGUCGUAAAGCUCUGUCAAGUGGGAAGAACCCACAUGGUGAUAAUACCGCCAUGUGUUGACGGUACCACUGAAGAAGCACCGCUAACU
rnacentral:rRNA from 1 species